GUGAACGCUGGCGGUAGGCCUAACACCUGCAAGUCGAACGGCAGCACAGUAAGAGCUUGCUCUUACGGGUGGCGAGUGGCGGACGGGUGAGGAAUACAUCGGAAUCUACUUUUUCGUGGGGGAUAACGUAGGGAAACUUACGCUAAUACCGCAUACGACCUACGGGUGAAAGCAGGGGAUCUUCGGACCUUGCGCGAUUGAAUGAGCCGAUGUCGGAUUAGCUAGUUGGCGGGGUAAAGGCCCACCAAGGCGACGAUCCGUAGCUGGUCUGAGAGGAUGAUCAGCCACACUGGAACUGAGACACGGUCCAGGCUCCUACGGGAGGCAGCAGUGGGGAAUAUUGGACAAUGGGCGCAAGCCUGAUCCAGCCAUACCGCGUGGGUGAAGAAGGCCUUCGGGUUGUAAAGCCCUUUUGUUGGGAAAGAAAAGCAGCAGGUUAAUACCCCGCUGUUCUGACGGUACCCAAAGAAUAAGCACCGGCUAACUUCGUG
rnacentral:rRNA from 1 species